ACUGGAGCGACGGUUGAGUCAGCUAUUCCCCAGGUUCAGGUCUCGGCACCAGCAGCAUCCUCGCUGGAGCCGUCAUGGCGGCUCUCUGGCGCGUCUCCGGCAAGGCGCACAACCACGAUUCGCUCAUCCAUGCCGUGCUGCACCUGGAGCAGAUGCUGACGACGGGCGGCGGCUGGCAGGACCAGGUCGGCGGCCUGACCCCCGGGGUCAAGGUCGGACACUCGCCGCCCGGCCUGC